ACAUAGAAGUCAAGAAUUGGGGUUUGGGAACCUCCAUCUAGAUUUCAGAAGAUAUAUGGAAAUUCCUGGAUGCCCAGGCAGAAGUUUGCUGUAGGGGUGGGGCCUUCAUGGAGAACCUCUGCUAGAGCAGUGCAGAAGGGAAAUGUGGGGUCGGAGCCCCCACACAGAGUCCCCGCUGCGGCCCUGCCUGAUGGAGCUGUGAGAAGUGGACCACCGUUCUCCAGACCCCAGAAUGGUAGAUCCACCGACAGCUUGCACCGUGUGCCUGGAAAAGCUGCAGACACUCAAUGCCAGCCUAUGAAAGCAGCCUGGAGGGAGGCUUUACCCUGCAAAGCCACAGAAGUGGAGCUGCCCAAGACCAUGGGAAUCCACCUCUUGCAUCAGUGUGACCUGGAUGUGAGACAUGGAGUCAAAGGAUAUCAUUUUGAAGCUUUAAGAUUUGACUGCCCUGCUGGAUUUCAGACUUGCAUGGGUCCUGUAGCCCCUUUGUUUUGGCCAAUUUCUCCCAUUUGGAAUGGCUAUAUUUACCCAAUGCUUAUACCACCAUUCUAUCUAGGAAGUAAAUAACUUGCUUUUGAUUUUACAGGCUCAUAGGCAGAAGGGAUUUGCCUUGUCUCAGAUGAGACUUUGGACUGCGGACUUUUGAGUUAAUGCUGAAAUGAGUUAAGACUUCGGAGGACUAUUGGGAAGGCAUGAUUGGUUUUGAAAUGUGAGGACAUGAGAUUUGGGAGGGGCCAGGGGUGGAAGGAUACGGUUGGGUUCUGUGUCCCCACCCAAGUCUUAUCUUGUAGCUCCCAUAACCCAUGUGUCUUGGGAGGGACCUGGUAAUUCAAUCAUGUGGGCUGGAUGCGGUUGCUCAUGCCUGUAAUCCCAGCACUUUGGGAGGCCAAGGGGGAGAUCACUUGCGAUCAGGAGUUUGAGACCAGCCUGGCCAACAUGGUGAAACCCCAUCUAUACUAAAAAUACAAAAAUUAGCCAGGCACGGUGGUGGGCACCUGUAAUCCCACCUCCCGUGUAGCAGGCAUUGUCACAGGCGCCUGCCACCACACCCACCUAAUUUUUUUGUAUUUUUAGUAGAGACGGGGUUUCACCGUGUUAGCCAGGGUGGUAUCGAUCUCCUGACCUUGUGAUCCGCCCACCUUGGGCUCCCAAAGUGUUGAGAUUACAGGCGUAAGCCACUGCACCCGGCAAUAAACCUCUUUCUUUUGUAAAUUGCCCAGGUAUGUCUUUAUCAGCAGCAUGAAAAUGGACUCAUACAAUGAUCCAUUACCUAGGGUAAAAUUCUCCUGAAUGUCAAACAGAGAUAAACUACAUUUGGGUUUUGGGUAAGUCCCCUGUAAUGAUGAAUCAAGAAUCCUCAAGUCUGUCUUGCCACCCAUUUAAUACGUAUUUUUGUUAAGGCUGAAGUUUAGAGUUAGAAUCAGGACAUUUUGGCCUAUUGAGAGGUUCUGAAUUCCAACAGAAGAUGCCAUGUAAAUCAGUGAAUUUGAUUCUUUUAAAAGCAACUUACAAAAUUUACAAGAUGUAUUCAAUAAAGCAGUUUAGCUUUGGUAUAUCAAACCUUAUAAUGAACCAUUUUUCCCACUUCAUCUUAUGCAAUGUUUAAUAUUUUCUAUUUUUGUCAAGGAUAUUAAACCUACACCUGGAAACAUAUUAAAUGCCAACUUAAAAUGUGAGAAGUUUGGCAGAACUCAGACCCAUUCUUCCAAUUUCCAAGCUGUUUAAUCACACUGAUUCAGACACUCUGGAUAGCAGCUGGGAUUGUAGUUAUCUUUAUGCUUUGAGCUCUCUAGUUUUGUC
rnacentral:lncRNA from 1 species